UUAUCAGUGUAUACUUUUUAAAAUAAAUAUGUCAAAGUAGUCAUGGAAGAACAACUGAUCUUUGUUGGGUCUCUCUAUACUUCAUUCGUAGUUUAUUUUGGAUGACACGGACUGGAAUCCAUCUCAGUCUUUUCAGUAUCUAAUCCCUUCCCUCUUGGGUGGUCCUGACCAACUGCUAGACCCUAAAGAAAUAAGAAGAUCUAUGUUUCAAUCCUGGCUCUGCCCCUAACUAGUUGUGUGCCUUUCUGGACUUCAGAGGUCUAUUUCCUUUCAUUUGACCUAGACCUGCUAGGUCUAGAAAGAUCUAGAAAGAACCAGACAGCUUGUGAUUUCUCUACUGGGACAGUGAUCUCUCUCUUCUCCUGUCUCUAGAAAGGGACUUGCUCUGGCUCUGGGAGAAGCAUCUCCGUCUUGGAGAUGUGCAUGGAGAUGAAGGACUCCUCCCGUAAUCAUCUGGAGGGCAACGACCCCAAGAAGAAGGGCUUCUCCAAAUCCUUUACCUGUGGGACACAUUUCCAGAGAGGAGAGAGUGUUUUCCAAACCUAUUUGCCUGUAGCCCUUUUCCUGUGGAGCUGGGUUGCUGAGGACUGGUUUUACGGGCGCUGGUGUCUCCUCUGUGGUCAUCCUCACUUGAUUCUCACGCGGUGGGGUUGCUCCCAUCUCAGGGAUGAGGACACUUAUGCUCAUCUAUAGGUUUUCUAGGUUUUGCUUGUAAAUCAAGAAGAGGCAGUAGAUACAGUCAUGGAAAAAGGCAGAAGAAAACAGACAAAUCAGUUUUCAGUAACCAUGGGCUCUGAUCCUUUCUUGACCAUGAAAGUGAAGUGUUCAACAUAUACCUGCCAAAAAGCUUAUGAGGAUAUGGGCUCGUAAAGGGAUGUAAGCAGCAACAACCAGACGUGCAGCAACAACGACACGGGCUACACAGUGUUCUGGGAAAGACUGAAGGCAGGAGGUGAAGGGGACAUCGGAGGAUGCGACGGUCGGAUGGCACCACUGACUCAAUGGACAUGAGUUUGAGCAACCUCUGGGAGUUGGUGAUGGACAGGGAAGCCUGGCGUGCUGCAAUCCAUGGGGUUGCAAAGAGUCAGACACAACUGAGCAACUGAACUGAACACAGUAUUCUUAAAAGCUUAAUCAGUUGUUGACACUCAACAACCAGGGUACUGUACAUAAAUGUUUGGCUCCAGUGUGACCACACUGGGUCCACAUUUCCAGUAACUGGCAGAAAUUAGCAAUUAGCCAGUUGCUGGAGGUGGGGUCUGUGCCCUCCUGCUCCUCACAGCCCCCACCCUACUCUUUUAUAUUGUGGCUAACUAGCUUCUCUCCAUUUACAAUUUCUGCUGGCUGUUUGGACUGGAAGAUCUUUAAGGGCCUUUCAGUUCACAUCUUCUCUGACCAUGGCUUAUCUCUUUAGGGGCUUCGGAUGCUGAACAAGAGGUUGGAUGAAGUGAAGAGUGUGGUGAAGAAGCAAUAACAGAACGAGGAUGAGAGUUGUCUGAAGUGUUUGGAGACAAAGGGCCAGAGUCUAGUUCAACCUGGUGAUAUACCCAGUGGAGCUCUAGAUGGGAUGUGAUACUUGGUCAAAGUUGGGGAGAAACUAAGAGGUUUUAUUGAGACCAAGGGUUCAGAAUGGAAGAUAGACGAACUGGGGAAAAGCCAGGUGUCGGCUGAGCUGGCCAAGUGCCUGGAACCGAAGCUGUGACUGUGAUCAGUCACAGUGAUGGGGUCACAGUGGAGAGCAGUUUUGGCUUGUAGCCAGGAAGUGGAUCCUGGAGAGAAAAAGGAAAGAGGAAACAAAAUAAUGAAGGUGUAGUGGAAAGAGCACUGAGCAAGGAAUCAAAGGAUGGGAUUUCUAGUUCCAGAUCUACCAUUUACUAAUCAUGUGAUUGUGGGCAUAUUACUCCACGUCCCUGAACCUGUUUCCUCAACUUCGAAAUAGAGAUGAUAAUACUAGCCGUGCCUAUCUCAGGGUUAUAGAAAGCUUAACUGUCAUACCAUAGAGCCAAGCACUUAGCAGCUGGGGAAGCACUAUCCCAAUGUGAGAUGGAAUUCAGAAGGUAUAACGUAGUCUUAGAAUGUCAGGGCUAAAAAAAAUAAAAAAAAUAAAAGAAUGUCAGGGCUAAAGAGCCAUGUGAACAUCUGCAACCCUCUCAUUUCACCUAUGAAGAAUUUGAGGCCCAGAGGAGAAAUUUCACAGCAAGAGGAGGGCAGAGGUAGGCACAUUGCUCCAUUAGUUUCAGAGUAGAACCGCCUUUGUGCUCCCUCUAGGUGUAGGUAAAUGAAACUCACCAAAGGAAGAGAGCUAGCUAGGGGACUUUGGGUUCAAGGGAUACCCCAAAAGGAUGUGUUUCAUCCUAUGUACUCCAAAGUGACAGGCCUGGAGUUCCCUGGUGGUGCAGUGGAUAAGAAUCCGCCUGCUAAUGCAGGGGCCACGGGUUCCAUCCCUGGUCUAAGAAGAGUCCGCAUGCUGCAGAGCAACUAUGCCCAUGCGUCAUAAUUACUGAAGCCCACGUGGCUAAAGUCUGUGCUCCACAACAAGAGAAGCCACUGCAAUGAGAAUCCUGCGCUCCACAACUAAAAGUAGCCCCAGCUCCCAGCAACUAGAGAAAACUCACGCAAAGCAACAAAGACCCAGUGCAGCCAAAAAAAAAAAAAGGAUAAGCUCUUGUAAUUUCUCUGGAGGUCACAGGAACCAGGAAAUACUUACCGAACCUUGAAAGAAGUAGUCUUCUUUCAUACUUCUUUCAAGGGAGAGGAAGUCCCACCCAGCGCAUUACCCAGCACGUAAGUGAGGGAGGUCACAGAAGGGAGAGGUGAGACCAUCUUGUUCUAGUUCCCCUGAUAGAGAUGAGGAACCUGAGGCAUAGGGAUGGGAAAUGACUUGCCCAAGGCCAUACGACCUGUUCCUGGCAGAGCUGGGACUGUAAUGGGGUUUCUCAAUUUGGAGCCUAGUUCUUUUACUUCGUGUACUAUUUGGGAUUGCAUUUCACUGCAAAUGGUAGAGACCAGUGGUGGCUUGCACCAAUGGAUAUUUGUUGCUAAUGAUGGCUUUAGAAGAUAGCGGUUACUUUUCUCAUUUUCUAAAAAGUCUGGAGGUGGGCAGUCAAAGAUUAGCGUAGCUGCUGGAAGAUGUUAAGGACCUAGUCUCCUCUUAUCUUCUUUUUUGGUUUCUCUUUUUCUUUUUUUCCCUUUCCUUUUAUCUUCUUAUUUUCACCCUCAGCCCAUAGCUUUUGUCCUUAUUUUCUUGAGAUGGCUGCUUUUCCUCUAGGCAUUGUGUCCAUAUUCUGGACAGGUGGAAGAAAUGAAGCUGAAUUUGUCUUUUCAUAAAGGCUUACCUGAAGGCUCCAUAUCAUAUAUAUAUAUAUAUAAUAUUUAUAUAAAAUACUCUAUGUUAUGUAUUAACAUGUUGUAUUAUAUUUAAGAUGUAAUACAGUAAGUCCCUUACAUAUAUACAUAAUAUAUAUAUAUACAUAAUAUACAUAUAUACAUAAUGUCACACACACAUUAUGUGUGUGAAUGAACAUUCGAA
rnacentral:lncRNA from 1 species